GGGUAUAGUCAAAUACUUGUGAAGUCGGUGUGUGAGUCAAGAUGGGAUUGACCCCUCCGAAUUAAUAGGAGAUAUGCGUCAGUGUAUUUUAAUUUAGCAAAAUCUGAGCUCAGAUAAUCUAUGUGAUGGAUUGAAAAAAGAUUGAAAUACAAUGUGGAUAACUUAUCUAGGAUUGACAGUUAAAUCUUAGGUCAUCCUCGAGCAUGUGGAUCAAAGAGAUGAAU
rnacentral:lncRNA from 1 species